rnacentral:rRNA from 1 species
UGGUUCUGAAUGGAAGGGCCAUCGCUCAACGGAUAAAAGGUACUCCGGGGAUAACAGGCUGAUACCGCCCAAGAGUUCAUAUCGACGGCGGUGUUUGGCACCUCGAUGUCGGCUCAUCACAUCCUGGGGCUGAAGUAGGUCCCAAGGGUAUGGCUGUUCGCCAUUUAAAGUGGUACGCGAGCUGGGUUUAGAACGUCGUGAGACAGUUCGGUCCCUAUCUGCCGUGGGCGCUGGAGAACUGAGGGGGGCUGCUCCUAGUACGAGAGGACCGGAGUGGACGCAUCACUGGUGUUCGGGUUGUCAUGCCAAUGGCACUGCCCGGUAGCUAAAUGCGGAAGAGAUAAGUGCUGAAAGCAUCUAAGCACGAAACUUGCCCCGAGAUGA